GAUGAACGCUGGCGGCGUGCCUAAUACAUGCAAGUCGAGCGAACAGACGAGAAGCUUGCUCCUCUGACGUUAGCGGCGGACGGGUGAGUAACACGUGGAUAACCUACCUAUAAGACUGGGAUAACUUCGGGAAACCGGAGCUAAUACCGGAUAAUAUAUUGAACCGCAUGGUUCAAUAGUGAAAGACGGUCUUGCUGUCACUUAUAGAUGGAUCCGCGCUGCAUUAGCUAGUUGGUAAGGUAACGGCUUACCAAGGCAACGAUGCAUAGCCGACCUGAGAGGGUGAUCGGCCACACUGGAACUGAGACACGGUCCAGACUCCUACGGGAGGCAGCAGUAGGGAAUCUUCCGCAAUGGGCGAAAGCCUGACGGAGCAACGCCGCGUGAGUGAUGAAGGUCUUCGGAUCGUAAAACUCUGUUAUUAGGGAAGAACAAAUGUGUAAGUAACUAUGCACGUCUUGACGGUACCUAAUCAGAAAGCCACGGCUAACUACGUG
rnacentral:rRNA from 1 species